CUUAUCCAGAACGGCAGAGGGAACGGCCCGACGAAGCCAGGCAACCGGUUAGACAGCAACAUAUUGUUUAACACGGUGCUAACUCCGGCGUCCAGAAUAGAAUGGACGAAAGAUGAGG
rnacentral:ncRNA from 1 species